AUGCAGGUUCUGCCGGACUCUCGCUUGUGUCGUGUAGACGCUGGGGCAAAGCAGCGAGAGCUUAUUGGGAGUUCCCUCGUCAACAACCUCGGGGUGGGAGGUGGGAAGCCCGCUGUUCCGACUGUGUUCUUCAUCCGAUCAGGAACUGAUGAGAAAAUAUUAGCAAAUAUCACAGACGAAGGCAAGAAGCUGAUGGCCACUGCUGACUCUGUGUUGACAAAAGUUGCUGGUGACCUGCUAAACGGGACGGUCCUUGUCGGGCAGCUGGAGUUGAUUAUGAAGCACAAGAAUCAGUUUCUUGACAUCUGGCAACUAAAGGAAAAAUGUCAUUCACCCCAGGAGAAAUUAGCUGAUAUGAAGAAAGUGCUGGAUUGGAGAAAGGAAGAACUAGAUUUUCUAAAGAAGGAGGAAAGUUACGUUGACGGCCUGCUGAAGCUGUGCGAGAGUGUGAAGCACCUGGUGCCAGUGGACUUUGGAGAGGUUGCAAGAAGACGCUCAGAGGACCUGAGCAGUAAAAGGUUAGAUGACGCCGUGACAGUGAGACUGCCCGCCUCCUCCCACCAGCCAAUCACAACACACUACCACUUGAGCCCCCAGGUCCGAGAAAUGGCUGAAAAGGUAGAUUUGCUGAAAGACAGCCACAUCUUCCAGAUCUUCUGGAAGGAAGCUGCAGAGUGGUUGAGUCAGCCUGCAGAAGAAUCAGAAGGGCAAAUACUGCAGCUGGAAGAGGUGUAUGAUGAUCUGUAUGAGCCUUGCUACGAAAAGUUCCUUGUACUUUAUCAGGACCUGAAGUCAGGAGAGGUCACCUUUGCAGAAAUCAAUGUCUUCUUCAAGGACUUUGUGAAUAAGUACAGUGAACUGACGACAGAGCUCCAGGUCAUGGGUGCUGUGGACAGCCAGAGCCCACGGGACUGGAUCCGGGAGCGGGUUGGGCAGAUCAGGGAGUACCAUAACCUGCACCAGGCUGUCAGCGCGGCCAAGGUCAUCUUGCAGGUCAAAGAGGAUCUGGGACUGACUGGCGACUUCAGUGUUCUUUGCACUUUACUACAUUUUACUGAUAACUCUGAGGACUUCCGCCACGAGAAACUGGUCCAGAUCAGCCCGCAGCUCAUCCGGGCCAAGAAGAUGCUGCAGGACAUGAGCGAGGCCCGGUGCCGGUGUCUGCAGGCGCUGUCCGGGAGGAAGGAGUUCAUCGGCUGGGUGCGGGAGGCGCUGGGAGGUAAGAGCCAGGAGUCUGGAGAGGGCUUCCAGAUGGUUCUUCGUGUGGUGUUCCUGACUGUGGAGAAGUUCUACCCUUGGUCAUGCUAUGCGGUGGGCGGAAGGGCGUGCCUGCGUUCCCUGGGAGGACGGGGGGUGUGCGGCCCGCCGGCUGCUGCUGGAGUCCCGUCCGCACGGCCCUCUCCCGUGCUGGCCGCAAACUUCCCCCGCGCUCUGCCCCGUGGGCGCUGCCGGGAACGGCCCGGAUCCUUUCUGUGUCUCCGCCCCUCAGCUUCUCUUUGGGUGGAGAAGGAAGCUCUUGCCCACGAGAGAUGCUGUCCAACACCCCCAUCGGUGUGGUGCACUCCGUGGUGGAAUUUCAGUUCUGUAGCUUAGAUGCCUUUGCCCGAGUUGAGAGGGAAGAGGAGGACAUGGGACAGGAGGGCAGAGGGCAGAGGGCGGGGGCCGCGCUGGUGUGCAGUGGGGUCGGGGCUAAGAGGCUGCACUGGCUCCAGGCCCAUCAGGAGCUUCACGGCUCCCAACGGUGGACUUUUUGGUCUCACUCUGGCGCCCAGGCUGGGGCGCAGCGGCUCGGUCGUAGCUCACUGCAGCCUCCAGCUCCUGGGCCCAAGCCAUCCUCCUGCCUCAGCCUCCCGAGUAGCUGGCACCGCAGGCGCUGCCACCACAUAGCUGCAUUCUUAAUGAAACCGGAAAGUGGAUAAAACCUUAAAAUUUAUCAAACAUCCAUUUAUGGCGUCGCUAAAGAGUCCUGUGCAGGACAGAGCCCCGUGCCCGUGUGGGGCAGUCCUGUGCUGACCUCCUCUCCUCUCUUCCCGAGGCAUCAACGAGCUGAAGGUGUUCGUGGACCUGGCUUCCAUCUCGGCGGGCGAGAACGACAUAGACGUGGACCGGGUGGCCUGUUUCCACGACGCCGUGCAGGGCUACGCCCCCCUGCUGUACAAGCUGGACGCCAGGGCAGGGUUCGGCGCGUUCAUGGAGCACCUGGCAGAACUGUGGAAGGCUCUGGACAACGACCAGCACCUGCCCAAUAAACUGGUGAGUCUCCUUCCUGCUCCAGAGCAGGCCGUGUGGAACGCAGCGUUGCUCUGGCAACGUUAGGGAAACGCAAACGACGGAGGCUUGUACGCAGCCAUUUAAGAUGAUGUUUAAAAAGGUUUUCUCACAAAUGGAAAUUCUUUCUCCAUCUUGCUAUGUUAGAAUGCAGGAUACAAAAUUACUUACAAACAAUAGUAAACUAUGGCACAAAACAUGUGGAGAAAAGAUUAAAAGAAAAUAUGCUAAAAUGUCACCUGUGUUUUUCUCUGAAAGGUAGUAAUUGUCAUUUCAAUCGGUCACUUCUGGAUAUUCUCCAUGUUUCCACAGUCGAUGCAGAUUAGUGUUGUAUAGGAAAGGUGAACGUUUAGGUGUAAGUGAACUACCCGGACCAGGGUCUGCGUUGGCUUACAGGAGUCCCGAGUGGUCCCGCGCCUGGGGCGCUCAGGACAGCCGGCUCUGCGGGUGGCUGGGCAGGAUGUGACCAGGCACGAGCAGGUAGAGCUGUCCUCACUUCUGCUGGAAGUCCACACCCGAGCGGGCCUCGCUGCCGUCUUUUCUUAACUCUCCAUCACACUCAGGGACCACAGUAGGACAUCGGGCACUUAGGCCCCUACGGCCCGGCUGCAGCUGGCACCACUCCGCAGGGCUCCUCGAGUGGAGCGCCGCCCGUGGCUGCUCACCCUCAGCCGCAUAUCCAGAGUCCCGGGUUACGGGCCACGGGGCGCCGGGUGCUGGUGGAAACGUGGGUGCAGCGGCACACAGAGACGGAAAUCCGGCAUGGCGGGUCCUCAGGAGGACUGGCAGGAGCACACAGGAGCCACCUGACCCUGCCACGGGCACUGUGUGGGCGGUGGUGCCCUGCACCUGGGGAGGAGUGACAGGAACACAGAGGGAGGAGGUGCAGGAGGAAGGGGAGGAAAGAAGUCACAGGGACGGUGGCCCGAACCUUUCCUGUCCCAACAGAGUGAUUCUGCCAGGAACUUGGAGUGGUUGAAAACAGUGAAGGACAGUCACGGGUCUGUAGAACUCUCGUCCCUGUCCCUGGCCACCGCGAUCAACAGCAGAGGCAUCUAUGUGAUCGAGGCACCCACAGGUGGCCGAAAGGUGAGC
ensembl:lincRNA